rnacentral:miRNA from 1 species
GGGGCUGUGCGAGCGCC